ensembl:lncRNA
CAGGGAAUCAGGAAACAAGGAGGAUAAGGGGAAGUUGACAGCCUGAAAAGCACUAUCAAAAGAUGAGAAUAAGCCAGUGGAGCUACACACAGAACUAAAAAGUGGCUGUAACCUUGUCCAUCUAGCUAGGCUGGAGCCUUGCCUGAACGAACGUUCUGCCUCCACAGAGUUGGUAAUUUGUGUGAAAUGAGUUGGUGACCACUGUUGCUACUGGGAUGUUUUGUCUGUAUCACAAAAACACUACCACAUCUGGCACAAACAAAUCAUAAUAGUCUGAAACAGCCUAGAGGCUAACGACUUUAGAGGAAAUCCCAAACACUUAGGUAGAUUUCAACACCACAUAAUAUUUGUGCCUCUAGAGCUGUUCCAGAUCAGAAAUUAGGUAUGGAGUUCUUGCUACACCUACCACUGUGGCAUCUAAUCCGUGAAGACAAAAGUCUCAGUAUCCUCGCCUGUUAGUCAGGUCAUUUCAUAAACACUAUUUCCAGGCAAGUGUAAAGCUACUGCUCUGCUGGAAAUUCAGAAGAUGUGGACUGUAAGGACCUAUGAAGAAUAAUUUAGUCUUGGAAAGUCUGAGAAGAGGCAAGAUGCCAUUACACAAAUAUAUAAAACAAAGCUGCAAAGAGGAAGGAAAUAAGUAACUCUUCCUGUUUACUACGAGUAAAAAGCAGUGAGCUUAAAGUACAAGGAAAAUUAAGCGUAAAGAGAAGUGCCACACAACAACAACAGAAGCCAUGCAGCCACUCCUUUGAGCUGAACAGAAGCACCGUGCCAUCUCUCUUAGACAAAGGGCUGCGCGGCCAGGAAGUCGAUCUAAGAGGAGAAGCAGCAGCUCCUCCUUCCCUGCCUCUUAGGAGAGAGCAGUUUCUGCUGGGGUUGGGAGGUUGGGAGCCCUCCCCCAGCUCAGGAAUGCAGUUGUUCUGGAGAUCCAGUUUGAGAGCAUCCAUGCGGACUAAAGGGACAUUCCUAGUCUUAAGGCAGCGAGAUGGACUAGGUGUCUCACCUCCCCUCUAACUUACAUGAUGUGUUAGCUGCAAAGGGUGCAGUGCACAAACUGAAGCCUAAGCGUUAUAACGUCUUGUAAAGGAGUGGAGCAGAACACCAGCUACAUCAGCUGCACAGCUGGCCAAAGUGAGCAAAAGGGGGGAAGGGUGGUCUUUGAAGAACUCAUCUGGGGAAAAGAAAAAAGAAAAAAGAAAAAAAGAGAAAAAAAAAAGCAGUUUUUUCCUAACAUAACAAGAAUUACGACUUUUUCCUCUGCUGCCAUCACAAGAGAGAUGACUGAAAUAAAGAUGAUGCAGCUGAGUGCUCCUGUUUAAUGCUCCUUCCGUAGGAAAUACUGUUGCAACACAUGCAGAAAAUAUCAGGGAUGCAAGGAAACUUAAAGAGGCAAAAGUGAGUUGAUUUAAAAUAAGAACUGAAACAAAACAGGCAGUCUCAUGCUAAGUGUGCGGUGCCCAAGAAGCCCAGCCAUAAGCCGGUGUACUCAAGCCAGCUCUGUUGUGUCCAGCUCCGUCGUGAAGGAGGAGAAAGGACGCCAUCUAUCCAAGUCCUCAUGUCUCCUGGGUGAAUUCCUGAGUUGGUUGCCGUGAACAGGUUUGGACAUCAAAACACAAUGUCUUUUCAGAGCUGACAGUAUCUCCAUGCAGCCACAGCUCUGGGAGCCAUCGGGACUAAUCACUCUUCUUUGUCUCCAGAUGUGUCUUUGUGAAGCAGCGGGCAGAUGCCCCGGGGUCUCGAUGACCGAUCUAGGAAGGGAACGUUCGCCCUUUCUCUUGAAGACCAGCACUGUGUUUGGCUCAUGGGCCCUCGGGGCAUUUUGAAAUGGUAAUUGGAAGAGAAAGAAGUUUACAGAAACCAUAUGAAGAAACACUAGUGCCUUCUUCAAAGUAUCAUAUUAAUGCUGCUUAAUGUAGGAGCCGUCUUGACUGGGUGCCUAUUUGGAUUUAGAUAAUUGCUAGCUUACCAGUUCAAACCAGUUCAAAAUGAGAAUGCACAGCAUCCAAGAUUUACUCAUGUGCCUCUCGAUGGGUUUUUGUUGUUUUUUUUCCUUCUUCUUCUUCUUUUUUUUUUUUCCUGCUGCUAAAGUCUGCCUAGUUUCAUCUUCCUUCAUCUUCUGUUACUUUGACCCUGCCUACAGGAGAAAGAUACACUUGAAAAACUGCAAGCUGCUCAUAAGCCAGUACAGUCUGGGCAUUCACAGAGAGAUCAAAGAGGGGAUAUAUAUGUGGAUAAUAAGUGGAUAUGUAUGACUUUUUUUCAUAUUGGGCAAGGCUAUAAUCUUAUUUAUCGAUUUUGUAGAAGGCUGUCUUUUUAAGUAUUUAACCUCUGUUCCACGGAUUGUGUCUUCUGCUGAGGUGAAGACCCCGUCCCGCCAUUUCUUCCCGUUUGGAGGGCACAACCCGCAGAAGAAAGUGCUGGACUCUCUUCCUUCUGGUGUAGGGAAACGCACUGCUUUGCAAGUUCUUCCUGAUCGACCUGAUCUAACUUGAAAUAAGCCAUUUAUAUUCCUGCAAAGGAAUACCAGGUUAUCCACAUGGCCUUUUGCCCAGGCUUAACAUAAUUCCUUUAAGACAAACUGCAAAUGAAUAGUUGUGCAGUUUUCCUGUGCAGGCAAGCCCUUAAUCUAAUUGGAGCAUGGAAAACAGCAUCUGAGAAGGCAAAACAGUGUGUAGACUUGGGGAAUGAGAGUGGGAGGUAAUGUAACGUGGUGUCUACUGGGGCUGAUGGAGAGAUCUGAAAAGAAAAGCUAAAAGUGAUUAAGGUUUUUAAAAUCCAAACUAGCAAGGAUUACAGGGAUAUGAAAAACAGAACCUGAGCCUGAACUUUUCCAUGUUCCGAGAACUGCCAUCUUCCUUCCUCUUGUUUUGAAACGGACGGGGUUCUGCCAACGCUAAACCUGCAGCAUACGGGCAGUGCUGCCUCUCAGUAUUAGCUAUUUCAAAAUAUAGCUCUCCCUUAAUAAGGAGCGCUAGCAACAUUGGGCAUUCCUCAGAUAGCUGAGGCCAUGGCUGCUUAACGUGAACACUUUUGGCAGCUGCAUUAUGUUGCACAAGCACCACCUUCAAAGGUCAAAUCUUGUCAGGUGUUCACACCUGUCUGCAGCAGAGGGGAGAACACUGGCAAGACACCUUAAAAUGCUAGGAAAGAUCUGACCCAUCCCAUACACGCAAUGUGACCAGGGCAAAUCCUCCACAGCCACAAGAGGCACGUGGCAGACUGAGAGACUCACUGGUGCAGUGGGGACAUUUAACUGAAGCAUGGGCCUGAGGCUGGAAGUGAGAGACUGGAUGUUUCACCAGGCUCUGGUCUGGGUACUAGCCAGCAGCAGCAGCAAUUGCUGCGAGGCUGGGCUGAGCACAGCUUUUUUGAGGCCAGCCAACAGACGUGUCAGGAGCCUACAGAGCUAAAACUAACUAGUACUUUUGUUCUUUCCACUGUUCGCCCAUACUUUCGCUCCCCUUUUCUGCCCUUUCAGUGGCAGCCUUGUGCAGCACUCAGGUCACCAGUCCCCGGGCCCUGACUCCAGCUCAAGAAGUAUCUGCUGUGGGCCUGAGCUGCAAGCAGCUCUUAGAGCGAUGCCCUAGGGAAGCACUCAGCAUGGGGAUGGAGAUAAAAGCUGUGUGAAGUUCAUGGGAUCAUUCCUCUCCAUGUCUGAUCUGAGCGUAACAGAGAAAAUAAGGACAAAACUACACUUGUACUUCUUCCGUUCCCACAGACACCAGUGACUACUUACUUGAUUGUGUCUCUAAACUAUUGCAGAAAAGAAAAAAGAAGACUCCACCAAAGAAAAACAGAAAAGCAUCGCAAGCUGCUUCAGACAAGGACUAGCAUAUGCUUCAGCUGGACAAGAUGUGAACCCCUUUGAAGUUUUCAAACAUGCUUCAGGCACCUUUGCAGGGAUCACUCCGAAUGUGCUCUUCAUCAAGGCUUCCCCAAGUCAUUAUGUACGUACUAUUGGCCUCAACAUUCUUUCAGCCUCUGCCUGUCUGGGAGAGGAGGAAGAUGAGGGGAGACUGCACGGCUUAGAUGGCAAUACACUAACCAAAGAACAGAGAAGCUCUUCAUCAGAUUACCUUUUAAUUCUUUAUGGAAGUUAAACACAUAAUAUUCUUCCUAAGAAUAAGGGUAGAGGUGUACUCAGCAUAGGCAGCGACAGAACGAAGUGCUGCAGCAUGAUGUGGAAGAUUUGGUAAAUAUGCUGUCCAAUGCUGUCCAGUUUAGUAAUCAUAUUUUUUUAUUAUUAGCAACUUCCUUUAUUUGUUGAAGUAAGAUUUUGUAUCAAAACAGAGAGGAAAGACGGACAGUGCUAAAACACCUGAUGCAGUUCUACAGGCAACAGAAGAUUACACAGAUUUUCUUGAAGUUUCCCGACUUCUCCUCUAGGUUUGUGUAACGUGUACUUCAGGGCAGAUCUACCCUGAGAAAAUGUGGGUAAGCAUCCUUCACUCUCCUGUCUGCCCCUGCCCACCCAGGGAACAGUGCUGUGGCUCUGCACAGGCUCCUUUAGCAGCAGUGCCAACUGCAGCAUCUCCAGGUCCCUGUCUAACUCGCUUGGGGCUAGUUGCCCCUGCUCACGUUUGACUGGCAUGGGCAUUUGUGUAGCCACUCCAAACAGGUGGUUUAUUUCGGAGACUAAACUCAGCUGGAAGUGCGGAAUGAGGUAGGGACUACCUAAACUGAUAAUGUCAGUGAGAGAAAUGCUUGGAUUAAGUGUACCAGCAUUGCCCUGUGCACUAGGUUAAGGCAUGUAAGGCAGGAAAUACACUCCAAACUGAGGAAAGUCACCGACUAUGAAACAAUAUCCCACGGGCAUUUCUUUGGGCAGCAGAGUUGCCUUUUUUUUUUUCCUGCUGCUAUGAACAAAGUUAUUUUAAGCUCAGAUCAGCUCCUUCAUUCACCGCACUGGCUGGCAUCACUAGCAGCUACACUGGGACAGUCACAGGAAUACCUUGAGGGCAGGAACAAAUGGCAAGGCAAGUGCUGGGAACUGCCUUAACCAGUACGGCUCUGUGUGAAAUAUCAGAAAAACAUGCCUCCGAAAUGUGAGGAAACAGGGAAGGCCCCUAAUCCUGUACAUCUGGGCUUGUUUUGAACUUAGAGAAGUGGUACCACCUUAAAAAAAUGCUUUGAAAUUUCAUUCUGCCUGAGAAUUGCUUCUGCAUGCAUUAUUUAAAACUUCUCCAUCGGUACAAGGAGUUUUCUGGCCGCUGCUGUAGGUAAAUGGAGAGUUUGUCGUGAAGUCUUCAUUAAUACCAUACCAACAGCUGCGGGUGCUUCUUCUUUUCAUGGUAUUGCUCUAAAUCUGUAAGACUAACUUUUGUUGCCUAAUAAUGUCCCUAGAAAUUUGAGAAGUGAUCGGGAGCAUUAAAAAAUUAUGCUAUUAAAGACAGAUAUCUGAUAUUUCUGAGAGGGUUACGCCACCACUGAGUGAAGACUGUUUCUUAGUCACUUAGUUAAAAACGGUCCUGGUUUUGGCUGGAAUUGAGUUUAUUUUCUUCCUCGCCGCUGGUAGGGUGCUGUGUUCUGAACUUGGGAUGAGAACAACACCGAUAGCACAGCGAUGUAUUGGUUGGUGCUGAGCGGUGCUUACACAGAGCCAGGGAUGUUUCAGCUUCUGACGCUGCCCUGCCAGCAAGGAGCUGGGGUGUGGAAGGAGCCAGGAGGGAACGCAGCCAGGACAGCUGACCCAGACUGCCCAAAGGGAUGUCCUGUACCAGGUGGUGUCGUGCUGAACUAUAAAACUGGG